ensembl:lncRNA
AGGGGUGGGAGGGAAGGGAACAGAGGGAGGGAGGAGGCGGGCAGGGAGAGAGAGGUAGAGGGUGUCUGUGCUGCGUGCGUGUGGCUCGGGCGGGGAGAGGAGGAAGCCAGCGGAGCAGGCGGUGGGAUCCCGUGUGCCCUGCAAAGGUGUCAGCCCCGAGGGGACUGAGCUUGCCAGUCCACCUGGAGCGAGGUAGACUUGGGGGAGGCAGGCAAGGUCAGUUGCUAAGUGGCUCCCUCCUCGGGGAUGGUGAGGACGUCUGCUGCUCUCCAGUGCCUGCCUGGUGCCUCUGGGUCACACUCGGCUGUCUCCUCCCAGACACUUGAUUUUUCGAAAGGGACACACCUUUCUGCAGGAAGGAAGACUGGCCAGACUGCGAGCGUUUCCACCCCAUCUGUCCAGCAUUCCCGCCCUCCUCCGCACCCCGGGGAAGCGUGGCCCGUCUUCACCGUGAGGCUUUUGCCUCCUAAGCCUGGAUUUCCGGCUGGUUCGCUGGGGGUGGCUGUGGAUGCCCAGGCAGACUGACCCGGCAGGAGUGUUUGUGCAUGGGAUCGGAGACCAUGGCAGUGCAGCUGGUGCCGGACUCUGCUCUCAGCCUGCUGAUGGCUCCUGCACCAGGGCACCUGCCCCAGCCUGGUUUCUCUUGCUGUGUCCCCUCCUGUCCUACCGUCCCCCUGGCCCUGCUGGAUAAGCACAGCUCAGCACCUUUGGAGCAGGACCCUGAAGGUCCUGCCACAGCAUCGGAGCCGAGCGAAGUGGAGCCCUUGGUCUAGAGUUAGAAACUGGAGAACACUGAAGACUGAGGCAGCAGACGCUGCACGUGGAAGGCCCUCACAGCGGGCCUCGUCUGUGCAGCAGAAGAGAAAGAUCAGCCUGUGUUUCUCUCUUGGUUUAGUUUGCCUGUCACUUUACUUUUCAUCAAGUAAGAAUGAAUUAGAUCUUACGUGGAAGUUGACUAUUUCAGCAGCUCCAUAAAUCCGCCCUGGAUGUGAGCUGAAUCCUGGAGCAGCCUUCUCCAUGCCUAAUGCCAUCAGCAGAGGAGUCCCCUGGGGUAACUUGCGAGGCUGUGAUGUCGGACCCCAAUAUUGAAGCUGGACCCCUACCUUCCUUCCUUCCCCUCCACAUAACCUUGUGGCAAGGCCUGAGUUCGAAGAGGCUGACCCUCCUUGGAAUCGCUACUUUAAGGAGGGAGAGAGUUAAUCUCACUACUAAAAGUGCUUUGUAUUUGACUUUACUUUCCCCUUUUAUCAAAAGGUAGGGGAUCCUGGUUCCCCCACCCUCUGUUGCAGGCAGGCUUACAGAUUGAUGCAGCAUGCCUAGCGACACAGGGGCAGAUGCUAUGCAAAUGAAAGACACAAUCACAGCCAAGCUUCACACCUGAGCCCACCGUAACCUUUGGCUGGCCUUCUGGAAAUGAGAUGAGAGCUGAUAUUUAAUAAGGCUUGUCGUUUCAAGAAGAUGGUGGUAGCGAAUCUUGCAAAGCGAAUUUAGACUUUGGUGACCUUUCUGUGCCAUUACAGACAGUGUCAGCAGGUUAGCGCGAUGCAGAAUAUACUCUCUGCUGUAGAGAAAAACCUCUGUGUCUUUCCCAGGCUUCGUUGCUGUGAAGCAUGCAAAAGGCGUCCAUUUCAGUGUUUUGGUCCCUUUGCGUCUGUCUGAACUGGGGCCUGUCCUGCCACCACGAAGGGCGUGCAGUGAUCAUUCCUGUGGCCGAGGUUGGUGAACUCUGGGUUGCAAUAUUUUGCAGAGAUUGUGCAUUUCCUGCACAGCCUCAGGCACACCUUGGUAUUUUAUCUGCCUCCAGCCAUGUGGAUGUGGAGGACACCUAACGCGUUCCUCAAGCUUUCUCUGUUUGACCAGUCCGCUCAAGGCCAUGUGGGCUUCUGACCAGUAAGGGCCUGACUUUAAGCAUCACUGCUGGCUUAAAGCAAAACAUGCCCAUUUCUUUUUAUGAAAAAAGUGGGAAAUACAUCCCACCCACAAAAUCCUAUAUCAAAUGAAUGUCCAAUUUAGAGAAGAGUAAAAUAAACAUCAACCCCUGUGAGUGUGCUGGGAAACAAUAUGAGCAGCACCUAACCUGUGCCCUGUCUCACCACCUCCUCUUGCCCCACCGGGAGGGAUCAACCACCCUUGCUUUGUUGCCUGUGGUAAUUCUUCUAUGGAUUUUCUUGAUCGCUGUACUGUGUAUAAUAUGCUUAGUGUUGCCUAUUUUAGCAUUUUGUACAACUGGAAUCAUCCUGUGUACAUUAUGCUUUUUCUCUUCUAACUUGACAUUAACUUUGAGGUUUCUACAUAUUGAUAUAAUGUUGAAUUGUGAAUAUACCACAAUUAAUUUAUUCAUUCAUUCUACCGUUGAUGAUGUCCAGAAUGCUCCCAGACUUUUGUAGUUAGGUUGAAGCUAUACCAACAUUCCUGUAUUAUGCUUCCUGGUAGGUAGGUGCAAGAAUUUCUGCAGGGUUUAUACUUUACAUCAAGAAAUACAAUCCUGAGAUUUUAGGAUGCAUCCAAUUUGAGGCAUGCCACAAUAUUUCCAAAGAGGUUAAUGAAUUUAAUCUCUAACCAGAAGUGGACAAGCAUUACUUAUUUUUUUCUAUGGCUUUAUCAAAACUUACAAUUGCCAGGUUGACAUUGUAAAAUGAUAAUCUAAGUGUGAGAUAGUUUUGUCAUUGGUCUGAUUAUCGCUGAGUAGGGGAUUUUUUGCUCAAAGAACAAUUGCAUUUCCUCUUCUGUAAAAUCCCAGUUCUUGUCCUUUGUACAUUUUUCAUCGUAUUUUUCAUAUUAAUUUUUUAUCAGUUUGCAACGUAUCCUUAGAAUUUCUCAGUUAUAAGAGGAUGUAAUAUUUCCAUUUGGUGGCUUAUAUUUUCACUCUUCUUAAAAUAAUACCUUUUGCUGAACAGAGCUUUUUGGUUCUAAUAAUGUAGCCAGGUCUACAAAUCUCUUCUUCAUGGAUUAUACUUCUGCAUGUUAUUUCAUACAGUCUAGCAGGAGAUCAUAAAGAUGAACUUGUCAUUCUCCUAAAAGGUUUCUCCUUUUCCCUGUUGAGCUUACUAAAGUCCACUUGUGUAGCAGGUGGGGAAGAGAGGCAGUUUCAUUUUUUUCCACGGUAAUGAGAUCCCUGCAGCAUUCAGGGGAUUGGCUGUCCCUUCUCCACUGAUCUUCAGGGAUCAUCUGUGAAAAUCAGGUCUCCACGCAAACAUGGGCACAUUUCUGAGCACUCCGCGUUUCCCUCAUUUGGCUGUCUGGUGCACGUGCCAAUAUCUAACUGCCUUCACUGUUGCAGCUUUGAGUGUGAUGUCUGCAAGGCAGGAGCUCCUUCUAAGCUGCUCUCCAGCCUCUGUGUUUCCACACCAGCCGUGGAAUCAGCUCAUCCAGUUUCCUGAAGUAUCCCUUUUGAGAUUUCCUUUGUGUGUGUUUGGUGAUGAUGGGGAUCAAUCCCAGGGGCCCCCAUGUACUAGGCAAGAGCCUUCCCACCGAGCUAUUACCCUUGUCCCCCUUUGGGGAUUUUUAAUGGUGUUGGAUUCAAUACCUGGAUAACUUUGGGGAAAAUUAACAUUUUCACUAUUUAAUUCUUAUCUGUGAAUUAUUUAGGUAUCCAUUCAGUUAGGCCUCUGAAGUUUUUCAUUAAAAUGUUCUCAUUUUCUUCAUAAAACACCCCUAUGUACUUAGAUUUAUUCCAAAGAAAUAUGUUUACAUCUAUAGCUAUUGUAAUUGUUGCCUUAAAAAUUAGCACCUUAAAACUAUUAAAUUCAAUAAGUGAUAUAAAUUGAUCUUUUUAAGCUUACUUAAUUUACAGUCAUCUGUUGAUUCUUUUGGAUUUUAUACCAACGUAAAUGAUGACUUUUAAAAAUUCUAAUUCAUAUUGGUAUGUUUUAUCUUAGUAAACCUCAGUAAGAAGUAAUGGUGGGAAUUCCUAGCUUGUUCCUGUCCUUCAUUGGAAAGCUUUUCACCUUCUACCAUCAAAUAUGCUUGUUUUAUGUAGCAGCAUUUUAUUUAUUUAUUAGGGAAAUGAAGUUCUCUAUUCUUAAUUUGUUCAGAAUUUUUAUUGGGAAUAGAUGAUGUAUUUUGUUGAAUUAUUAUUGUUUUACAUCCACAGAGAUAAUCAGAUGGUAUUAUCCUUGUUAAGCUGUUAAUUAAGUGAGUUACCUUACUCUGUUGAGGCAGUGCUGGCGAACCUGUGGCAUGUGCCCUGCAGUGGGCAGGCAGAGCCUCUGUUGCCCGAGCAAUGCCCCACCAUAGCCCCAGCUGCCGAGCGUCGGAUAUUCAGAUUUAAUCGCAGUGUUGGCACUUUGUGAUAAAUAAGUGGGUUUUGGGUUGCUGUUUGAGUCCUUGAUCUCUGAAAGGUUUGCCAUCACUGUAUUAAGCCAACCUUGAAUUCUCACCAUGAUACAAAGAAAACAUGAUGGAUAAUCACUUUUAUGCAUUGCAGUAGGUAGGAAGAUCCAGCAUAUCUGCAGUUGAGUCUCCCGCUUGCUUAUUCUUUUUUUGUUGUUGUUAUCGGGUAUCGAACUCGGGUCCUUGCGCUUGCGCAGCAUGCAGCAAAACGACUGAGCUAAAUCCCCAGCCCUUGCUUGCUUAUUCUUUAUGUUAAAAACAAUGUACCAGAUUUUAACUGACUGAACACUGAUUCCUUUCUUAUUGAUUACUUUCUUAAUUUCAGUUUCUUCAUUUGUAAAAAUGUUAGAAGGAAUUAAAACAUUUAGUAUGAAUUGGUAGUAUUUUAUUAUAUCCAUUAUUUUGGGUCUAUGCCCAGGAAAAAGUCCACAUUCUUUUUCAUUUUUUUGCUAUCUUGAUAUAAAUUGAAAAUAGUAAGAAAAUCAUUAGUUUAAGUCGAAUCUUUCUUUCUCCAUAGUGUUUUUCUUAGAUAAUAAACAGCUGAAUGAAAAAGAUUACAGGCUGAGUGUUUUCAUUUUAUUUCUGUGUCCAACUUGCUGUGGACAAACCCCAUUCCUAAGGUGUCAAUUAAUUACAAUUGCGUGAAAGAAAAACAAUUUCCCUAAUAGUAAUAGACACCUUUUAUAAAAUUCCUAUGUGCCAGGGACUGUUCCGGGGGCAUUUUCACUUGCUUUACACAUUUUGGAGUUGAAGUCCUUGUGAGAUAGCUACUGUCACUUCCAUUUUUGGAGGUGAAGAACCUGGGCUUACAAGAGCCUUUGGCUUUGUCUGUGUAGCUCCACCUGCCUAAUUUUGCUUUCGUUGCUUGUGCUUUUGAUGUCAUAGCCAAGAAAUCAUUCCAAAGCCCUGUCAAGAAGCUGUCCCCUAUGUUUUUUUCUAGGAGUUUCAUAGUUCCAGGAUUUACAUAUAAAUCUUUAAUCUCAUUUGGCUGGCUUUUUUUUUUUUUGGUGUGUGUAUGGUAUAACAUAAAAGUCCAAUUUUAUUCCUUUGCAUGUGUGUAUUCAGUUUUCCACACAACAUUUAUUUAAACCACCAUCUUUUUUAUUAUGAGUUCUUGGCACCUUCGUAUAUACCAGUUGCCUGUGUAUGUAUUGCGUCAUUUCUGGGCUCUCUGUUUCAUGACAUUGGUCUCUGAGCCUCUUUUUAUGCCAGUUCCAUGGUGUUUUGAGUAUUAUAAGUUUGAUUAGUAUGAUUUUGAAAUAUGGAAGUUUGAUGUUCCUAGCAUUGUCCUUUUUUCUCAGUAUUGCUUUGACUAUUCAAAUCUUUUAUAGUUCAUUAUUUUUAGGAUUUGCUUGUUUAUAUAAAAAUGAUUUGGGGAUUUUGAUAGGCAUUGCAUUGAAUCUGUAGGUCCCUUUGAGUAGCGUGGACAUUUAAAAAAUAUUAAGCCUCCUAAUCCAUGAGCACAGUAUGUCUUUCCACUUACUUUAGUCUUCUUCAGUCCUUUUCAUCAAUAAAAUACAGUUUUCAGUGUAAACGUCCUUCACCUCCUCAGUUAAGUUUAUUCCUUACUCUUUAUGUUGUGAUUAGAAAUGGGAUUAUUUUCUUAAUUCCCUUUUUGAGAUAGUUCAUUGUUAAUGUAUGCAAACAACUGAUUUUUUAUUUGAUUUUGUAUCUAUACUGUAUUCAUUUCUUAGUUUCAGAAGUUCAUUGUGGAAUCAGUAGGAUUUUGUAUAUUAGUGUAUAUGAUCAUAUCAUCUGUAAACAGAUCAUUUAACUUCUUCCUAAUGUAGAUGCCUUUUAUUUCCCUUUCUUGCCCAGUUGCUGUGGUGUGGACUUAAAUUCCUUAUUAAAAGUGAUGAAAAAAGGACAUCUUUGCCUACAGAAUUGAAUUUAAAAUAUUUUCAAACCGUAUAUUUGAUAAGGACUUAAUAUUCAAAAUAGUCAAGAAGGUCUUAUAAACAAAAAUAAUAAUAACUCAAUUAAAAUGGACAAAGAGCAGAAUAGAUAUUUCUCCAAAGAAGAUGUAGAAGCAGCCAACAGAAGUGAGAAAAUGCUCCACAUAACUAAUCAGGGAAAUGCAAGUCAAAACCACAGUGAGAUAUCUUCAUGUCUGUAGGAUAGAUGUUACUAAAAAGAUAUUAAGUAUUGCCAAGGAUGUGGAGAAGUUGGAACCUUUGUGCACUGUUGGUGGGAAUAGAAAAUGGUGUAUCAGUUAUGCAAAGCAAUAAUGCAGGUCCUCAAAAGUUGGAAAGAGAACUACCACGUAGCCCAGCGAUGUCACUUCUAGAUAUAAGAUCAAAAGAAUUCAGAUCUUGAAGAGAUAUAUGAACCCCCAUGCUCCCUGAGAGGUAUUCAUGAGUCAAGAUUCAAAAACAACCUAAACGUUUGUUUAAAAAGCCGGAAUAGUGGAAAUGUGGUCAGUGCAUACAGUGAAAUGUUGCUCAGCCUUUGAAAGGGAAGGAAAUCCUGUCACAUGCAGCAUGGAUGAGUCUGGAGGGCACUGUGGCGUAAAGUAAGCUGAAGGACACAGACUGAUUUACACUGGCAUGAGGAAUCUAAAAAGCCAAACUCAGAGGCACAGCAGAAUGGUGGUUUCCAGGACCUGGGUAGAGGGGAACCAGGGAGCUGCUAAGUGGUUUCAGUUAUGCAGGUGUAAGUCCUAGAGCUGCAUGCACAGGUACUGCACCUAUACUUACAAUAGCUAUAUUGCUAACACUUAAAGUACUGUGCACUUAAAAUUUGUUGAGAGAAUAGAUCUUAUGUUAAGUGUUUUUACCAUGAUAACAAUUAAAAAUAAAUCUAUAAUUAAAAAAUAGUUUGAGUAACUUGAUUAGAAUCCUGUAAGACGCUGCCUUGAGGUUAGACCAUCCACCUCCUUCCGCACCACAGUGCCAUUUCCCAGCCUAUUGGGGUAGGUCUAUUACUGCAGGUUGUUAGACUGGACAAUCUAAACUCCCAGUGUAAAAUGCAAUAUAUUUCCUUUUGCAGAUUUCUCUGCUCUUCUGUACCAACUCCAGGCAAACCGCAUCAGUAUGUCCCAGGUGGGCUGCAGCUCAAUUUAAAGUGUUUCUCAUAAGGACAAAGGUGAAGAUUGUGGACAUUUCCAUCUGUCCCCUCCUUCUGUAGAAGGUGGCCAGGGUGUCCAGCGUGAAGUAAUUGGGACCAAAGUGUGCCUUGAGUGAUGACCCUCCUAGCUUUAGCACUAAUCUUCAAAGGAUUCAGGACUGCCCUUGAGUCCCUCACUCUGGGAGUUAGGGAGUCUUUAGCACAUCGGCUGAUUCUCUGGUUGCAUCAGGGUGGAACUCUGAGCCUGGGAGAGCAUUUCAUGCCUCCUCUGUUUUACUGCAGCCGUUUGCCGUCACCACGUAGUAUCAGUAUCUCCAGACAGGCUACGCCGUGGCUUGCAGGGUUCAAAACCUCUUCAUUAUUCUACUAAAGAUAAACAGAUGCCCAAGCAGAAUUCUGAUUGCUGUGAAGCAGAUGAGAGUUCGCAGGUCACAGAAAAGAGGGCGGUGGGUGGACUCUGGAUCACAUGCUGAGGGCUCACCUGCAGGCCAUCUCUCCUUCGUCACAUGUGUCCGGCUUCUUCAUGAUGACCAAUGAUGCCUUCCCUUCAACCCUGAGUUAACUGCCAGCGGAGGCACAGGCAGAGGAGAGGAGAGGGGCCUUUUGAUGUUUUUCUUCCAUCUCUGGACCUUAUCAGAGAUCUUUAGAGACUGUUUUUCUUGAGAAGCUAGUGCUCCUUUGCUCGUGAUGUUAGUUAGGAAGAGGCAGAUGCACUCAUGGAAGAAUAAGCUGGAGCCACGAGGCUGGGAGGGGCUGAGGGGCCGGGUGGUUAGGCCUGGUCUCCGUCCUGCAGCCUCUGGUCAGUACAGGAAGAGCCUACAAUGACACUGAAGCCCACCCUGAAGCAGCUGUCAGUAAGGAAGGUGUCGCCUACUCUUUGUGUGUGUAAAUUCACAAAAUGAAGCUAAUUAAGUAUUGUCCUCUGGAAGAGUAUUUUCUCUAUUUAAAAAAAUUCAUGCUUGUGUUCCAAAUGUAAAUAGAGAAAAUUACAGAGGAGAAAAUUAAGUCGACUCCAGAUCUCAGUAUGUAGGGAUAUGAAGACUUUAAUGAUAACUGCAUGACUUCUCUGAAAAGGCUUUCCAACUAUAUUACCAUGCCAGAUUGCAAAUGCCAAUUGUGCUGCAAGGGUAUGGCCUUGACUAUGAAAACUGAAAAGAGGUGUCAUUUUGUAAAUGGGAACGAAUGGCAAACCAUUGUUUUAAAAUUUCUUUGAUUAAUGUGAUUAUCAAAAAUUUGCAAGUUUUUCAGUUGUGAACAGUUGUUUAAACUUUUGGCUUUUUUAAGUUUAUUUUUCUUGUUGGUUUAUAAGACUGUCUUAUCUAUGUGACAUGUUAACCAUUUCUAUUACAUUGUCAUCACAUCGUAAUCACUGUUAUCGCCAAUAAUUGCUUUAUUGUUUGAUAUUACAUUUUUAUGAUUCAAUUCUAUUUGUGUAGGUUUAUUGAGGUAUAAGUAAUGUACAAAGGGCUGAACACAUUUAAAAUAUAUGUUUUGAUGAGCUUGACAUAGGUAGACAGUCAUUAAAGCUUACCACUUCAAAAUAAUGAAUAUAUCCAUUGUUCAUAAAAAUUCCCUUUUAUCCUUUUACAGACCCUCCCUUAUACCACCCUUUCCAUCCUUAAUUUUGCUACCUUGAAUUUUUUAUAAAUGGUUCAUACAAUGUAUACUCUUUUUUUCUGAUUUAUUUUACCCAGCAUAGUUAUUUUUAAAUUCUUUCAUGUUGUUACAUAUGUCAAUAUUUCAUUUUUUAUUGCUGAGUAGUAUUUCUUUUGAUGAUUAUACCACAAUUUUAUCUAUUCACCCACUAAUAGAAAUGUAUGUUGUUUUCAGUUUGGGGAUACUACAAAUAAAUCUACUAUUAAUUUUCAACCUUUGUGUGAACAUAUGCUUUCAUUUCUGCUAACACCUACGUAUAGAAUAACUGGCCCAUAUGGUGGGUAGAGGUUUAAUUUUUCAAGAAACUUCCAAACUAUUUUCCACAGCAGUUGUGCCAUUUACAUUCCCAACAGCAGCAGACAGGUGCUGCAGUUUCUCUACUUCAUCAGCAGCAACACUUGAUAUAUAUUUUUUUAAUUUUAGCCAUUCUGAUUGUUAAAUCUGGGUUUGUGGUGGGAUUUUACUGUGCUUUUAACUACCUUUUUUCCCUAGUAAUUAAUUUUCCUGACUAUCAUGUGCCAUUUGCUAUUCUUAUAUCUUCUUUGGCAAAGUGUCCAUUAAAAGCAUUUGUCCAUUUUUUGUUGGAGUUAUGUGAUUUAUUUUGAAUUUUGAGAGUUCGGUCUUUAUUUUAGAUAAAAUCCUUUUAUCAUAUAUAUGAUGUACAAAUAUUUCUUUCUGGUCUGUGGAUUACCCUUUUUUAUGUAAUAAGGUUUUUAAACCUUAAAUUUUAAAUUUUGGUGACAUCUAUUGAUUUUUAAAUAGUCUGUGCUCUUUGUUUUUCCUGUUUUAUUUUAUGGAUUUAUUUAUUUGUGUGGUGCUGGGGCUCGAACCUCAGGCCUCGUGCAUGCUAAGCAUGUGCUCUACCACUGAUCUACACUCGCUAGCCCUGUGUUCCAUUUCAGAAAUAUUUCCAAACCCAAAACAAAAAAUUUUUCAUCUACGUUGUAUUAAAAUUUUUCAUCUACGUUGAAAGUGAGUCACAUCCUGCAACACUUUUAGAAUGAAACAUGGACGUGAUUCAUUUUGAGCUACUUUUUCUAUAGGGUGAGGUUAGGGCCAAGUUUUCCUGAUCUUUGCUUGCAUAUGGUUUCCAGUAAUUCUAGCACCAUUUGUCAAAAAGACUUCCUUUGCUAUUGAGUUAGGCUUCUGUUUCCUAAAGCUGCUACACCAAAUCACCACAAAGUAAGUGGCUUAGAACAGCAAAACCUCCUGUUCUUGGGUUAUGGAAGCCAGAGGCCUGGAGCUGCACUGUGCUGCCUCUAGAUGCUCGGAGCUGGACCUGCUUCUCUCCCUGCACCCCGAGGCUCCUCAGCCAUCCUGGCUGAGCCCUUCCCUGCAGCGGCAUCAUCCCGACACUGCUCCCCUCUGCACAUGGCAGGGUCCCCUCUGUGUCUGUCCCUGUGUCCCUGUUUUCUUACAAGGGUGCCCAUCAUUGAAUCUAGUCAGACUAAGCCAGUCUGACUUCCUUUAAGCAAUUAUACCUGCAGGGACGAAAUAAGACCACAGUCCAGGGUGCCAGGGAGACACAUGUUCCAAAGGGGUGUACGUAACCCAGUAAAAAUUAAUUGGGUAUCUUUGUGAAAACCAAUAGAGCACAUAUGUAACUUAUACUCUUGUGGUUUGGUUUAUUGUUUUUAUGCUUCAAAAGUGCUUGUUCACAGUGAGGUCGGUUUAAAUGUUAACUGUGUUUUAUUCUAGGUUGUUAAUUUAAUUUCUGAAAAUCUAGAGUAAAUUUUAGAUUGUGGUAUAAGGCUGCAUUAUAAGUUUUUUCCCAAAUAAGAAAUUUCCUUUUAUUUCCUCUAGUGCCUAAAAUUUGUUUUUUAUUUUAAAUUUCUCUAAGAUAGAUGUAUGUUUGUAAUUUUACAGGAUUGUUACAUGUUUACACACACUAUUAAAAAUGGUCAUUUUCUUUGUGGAAUAAUUCAUGUCUCGCCCUGCAUGUUGCCUACUUUGUAUUAGAGUAAGUUCUUGUUAGUCUAUAUAUGAAGGUCAAUUUCAUGACCACUUUAUUCUUUUCUGACUGUGGCUGAGACUCUUCCAGUACUGUAUUCAUAUCAUUGUAAGUGCAUAAUAGGCUUUAAUAGCAGUUUACAAGAUACCACUUUCAUCUUCCCUGAUUAUUCUUCAAAUGACCUUCAAAAUAAUUAGCUCGACCUUGUUAAGACCGUUGUAGUUUCUGGUGGAACAGCAUCGUACCAAUGCGUGAUUUGGGGAAGAACGGGCACUUCCUCAGUUUCAGUCACUCUGUAGGAAAAUCUGUAGAUGCAAGUCAUUCAUGUUUUCAUUGCAGCUUUAUAAUUUUCAUCAUACGAGUUUCUAUUGCACAUCUCUUAUCAGCAAUGCACUCCCAGAUAUUUUCUACUUAUUAUCUCCUGUUGUAAAUGAAAUCUUUCUUUUCCCAUUAUGGUCGCAAAACCAGUUCUUGCUGACAGAAACAUGAAUGCCUUUGAUAUAUUUAUCUUCUACUGCUCAUUUGCUGAGUUCACCUGUUAAUUCUAUAAUUUAAAAAAUCACUUUUACUUCCUUUUGGCACCUAAAACUUAAAACUGUAUUUUCUUUGUUCUCAUCACUGAUUAGUUUUCUGACUGCUGAACUAGUCUCUGUCGUUCAGAUCUGCAGUUUGAAAGCGCAUGGUUCAGACCUCAGGGUCUGGCAGUGACAUUGCCCUGGUCUGAGCAUCUCCUGCUUCGCUCCUUCAUCUUCAAGUGCAUCUCACAGUGGCACACUAACAUGUACACCUUCCAAGCAUUCAGAGCCAACAAGGCUCAUCUGCAUCCCUGUGACAAUUUCCCCUUUUGGAGCCACAUUUUGAGACCAUGCACCCCUACCAGUUUCCACCCUAGUUCGCUCUUGUUAGUUGUCCCGAGAAUUUGACCAGCCACCCGGAGCAGAGGAAAUGGCGGUGGGACUGCAGCCUCCUUAGGAGCCAGCAAUUAGGCCACAGAGGAGGACUUCCGGUUUUCGCUCAGUUCAGAUUUACAAACAGAGAAGGCGAGCAAAGGACAAUCAGGCAUGAGUUUUCCGGCCACUUUUAAGGAUGGGUUAGUUCAUUUGCUACCAUUUUUCACCAUCCUUGGACAGUUUUCCCCUCCAAAUUCAGCUGGAUUUUAGGAACAGACUGAUAGUCACUUCUAAUUUUGAGACCAUUGUAAGUUCUUGACUUUUUCUCCUACUUAAAUGGGUACUUUGGUAGAAAGCUGGUGACGUGAACUUUGUGGGCUGUACACCAGGUACCAUUCUUAACAGAAAGUUUAGCAGUUUGAAGGCAAAUGAAGUAAGACUUGAGAAGUAAGGCACUUAUAGAUUGGGUACCUCCAACGAGGUCUAGGGGUUCUGGUGGAGAAGCCUCUUUGUUUUCUUCAACUUGGGACCUAAGGUAACCCACUGUCGACUCUUCAUGAGCUCUGAUUAGCAGUUCACCCCUAGACCUUCUCCAGGCCAAACUCUGGAGAACAUCAUGGCACCUUCCUCCUUCCUCAACUGCAGGGACCCAAGGGCAUCACUCCGCACUCCACGUGGGCCAUGGCUUUCUCCAGCUCAGUGUAUACCUGACCCAGGUGGCAUGACGGCUUCUCUGCAGAGGCAGGUGUUGUCAGUGGUGGGACCUGUUGGGUGUUCCUGGAAUGAUAGGUAGGUAGAGCAUGAAGCAGAUGAGAAGCUGGGGUGGGGGUCACUUCAAGACAGGAAGAGUGUUGUCUGAGUUUUAGAGAAGUACUUGUAGGUUGUAUUACCUCACCUUGCCGAUUAGCUUACGAUGAGCCUAGGAGCCUGGAUUUCAAGGGAACAGGAAGAUGGGAGUGGUUCUGUGUUUACCGUAGGAGCCAAAUGUUCAAACACAGUGACAACAACAACACAACAAACUGAAAGCCUCUCUCACUGACGAGUGUGGCACAAGCCAAGAGAGGCACCCAGUGAGCGGUCCCUAAGAAAGGCAAGAGAGAUCCCUAAGAAAGUAGGUGACCCAGGGAAGAGCACACAGCUGGCGCUGUCUGAAGUGAGGGACUGCUGAAGCCACAAGCACCCCAGGAGACAAGGGAGGAGUUGGCAUCUGGGCAGCUGCCGCACGGAAGACACAGAAGCCAGCCUGUGAUGCCACCACCCAUGGAAGGUUCUUGCCAUCCCCAGGUUUCCCUACCCCGUCCUCGGCCCCUCAGAAGCCAAAGGCAAACAAUGAGCAGACCAGGACAGGAAAGAAGAGCACGAUGAAGAAGGCCCAGAGGCCAUGCUGUCCCUUCCACCCCUUUUCCCUUCCUCGAACGCACCACUGCAAGUCCGGGAAGGUCGCACCUUUGUCCUGGGGUGGGGAAAGAGCAACUUCAAACCGCAAGAGAGAUUCAAGUGUUUAUUUCUAGGAGAGCUGGGCUUUUGGUGCUUCGGAUACUAGGAAAGAAGCACUAAAGCUAGAAAAUGUGUCCAAGGCUGGGGGAGAGAGAUUAGACAAAAUUUAUUUAAAGAAAGCGGUUUUUCCACUAAAAAGUUGAUUUCCCAUUUUGCAUCCUAUAAAUUCCAUCUACUAUGUGUGAGACCAGUUAUACUUGCACAAAAAUCUAUAUAAAAAUGCUUAUGUUGAAAUUUUUUGCCAAACUGCUGGUAAAAUAUUGGGAGUAAACCAAGUCCUUAAAGUUCUUGGGAGAGUUGCUCACAAUUUAUCUUGAGUGUUUCUUGCUGUCAUGUUCUGUAAGAAUGAUUAAUAAUGAUGCCACACCAAGUUCUCUGUUUCAGUGGUACUAACCUUGACCAGAGCAUAGAACAAAACAAAGAAUAAUCUUUAACACGAGUAAAAUCUCUGCUCUAAUAAAAGAAAAUAUACUUGCAUCUUUACGAGAUCAAUAUAUCUUUUCUUGGCUAAUAGAUGUCAAAAGAAUCUAUUUAACUCAGAACUAUUCAGAUUUAUAUUUUUUAAUGCAAAUUAGGACUAGUAAAAGAUUAUCUAGCAAAUAAAAUAAACAUCCCAAGUCUACACUGAUGUAGGUAAAUGAAUAAAUGAAUACAGGGCAGGGAAAUCUCUUCCUUACAGUAGAAAGUUGGUUAGAAAUGUAGAAUGAUUGAUGGAAUAAGGCCAGCCAGCUUAGUGGAUCAAAGUUUGAGGAAUGCAAGAAUCUCCAAGUGGGGGCUGGGGAUUUAGCUCAGUGGUUCCGCUGCCUGCCUCGCAAGCGCAAGGACCUGAGUUUGAUCCCCAGUACCAAAAAAAAAAAAAAAAAAGAAUCUCCCAGUGUAUCUCCCAGAGCUACGUUUUAUUGUAAGGUAGGUAACAUGGUACAUGUCCACUUACUUAGCGAUCGGCCUUCAUAGCUCCAGAAAUGGCACUGACUGAUCCCAGGUGCCCUGGAGCUGGUGCACUGAGAACUCAUCACUCCUGGGCUCUUCCUACCCAGAAGGCGUAACACGGAUCUCAUUAUGAAGACACAAGGGGCAAACCCAAGUUGAAGACUAUUCUCCAGAAGAGCUGACACUGACCCUUCAAAUAUUAAUAUAAUAAAAUCAGAAACUAUAGAAGCAAGGACUGCUACAGACUAAAGAGACUAAAGAGAGGGUGGGCAUGAUUGAUACACAAUAUAUGCAUCUAUGGAAGUGUCACAGGAAGCCCAUUAAUUUGCUCAGUUAUACACAGUAAUAAAAAAGAAAUAGACUGAAGAAAGAUGACAGCUGAAUGCACUACUGUACGUGAUCUUGGACUGUCUUCUGCUAGAAGGACCCUAUCAGAUUAGAAGAUAAUAUUCUUCGAUGUUAUUUCAAUAAUCUUUUUGUGGUUUUGUAAGAAAAUUGCGGGCUUUUUAUUUAAUAAAGUUUUAUUUUUCCAAGUGUAUGGCUGAGUGGGCCUGUUCGUUCAUCUUCACCCACAGAUGCGGCGUCUCUGGUGUCUCUGGUAUAAAUAACUGAGCUCUGUGCUUUGAAACCUUAUUGAUGAGUCCUCUGCUGAGGGCCCCCGAAGGACUGCCCUGCCCCAUGCACCUGAAUCUUCAGUCUCUCAGAGACCACAGCUGGUUGUAAGCUUCUAGUUGGCAACUUCCUUACAGAGUGUGUCGCAAGCAGCUGUAUCAAACAAGACCAGGUUCUUGAGCUUAUCCUGAACUUUGCCUGUGGACCACUUCUUUUCACCUUGCCCUCAGGUUUGUUCACCAAGUCUUUGUCUUUCUUGGCCAGCUUUCCAGCAUCUUUCUUUUUCUUGUCAUCCUUGGGACACAACACAAAGCUUGGAGGGCACUGUUGACCACUGCAGCCUUGCUAAGAUGUUAGACAAAAAGGAAGCACCAUUCACCAGCCGGCCCACAAAGCCCUGUCCCCAAAUUUGUGUUUUGCAGAAAGACACACUGAAGUAUUUAUAGAUGUAUUUUUAUUUGAAUCAAUCUAAAAAUAAAAUAGGAGCAAUAAACAGAAAGGCUGAAGCAAAACAAAAGGUCGCUAUUUGAAGAAUCUAACAUAAGGGCUUUGGCAAUUCCCACACGCGCAUUGUGUGUGUGUGUGUGUGUGUGUGUGUACAUCUUGAUCUUAUCUUAUAGAUAAGGUGUUACAUUAUUCCCACUUUCACAGCAGGAAAUGGACUAAUUUGCUUCUAGUUCCAUACUAGUCAGUGUUGGAACUGUAGAUGAACUCCCAGGAUUCUGAAAUCAAAGUUUAGGUUAAGAACUGAGUAAAUUGAAGAGUUUUCUUACUUCAAAACUCCUUAAUACCACCUGAAACUCCCUUUUGGAAGUUUUUACUCAGAGUCUGUAUUAGCUAUCUAUUUUGGUGUAAUAUGUCACUCCGUGACUCAGUGGCUUGACACAGCAGAUAGUAAUAUCUCAGUUUCUGUGCAUCAGACUUGGGUGCAGCCAGGGUGAAGCCCCUGGUCUUGUCUCCCAUGAGCUUGCACGGCAGCUGUUGGCGGGGGCUGUGGUCCCACCUCAAGGAUGGAUGGAGGUUCAGUUCCUUCCAAGUUCACUCACCUGGCUGUUUACAGGCCCGGAUC